UACAGGGGGGGCAAGCGUUGUUCGGAAUUACUGGGCGUAAAGGGUCUGUAGGUGGCUUACUAAGUCAGACGUGAAAUCCCUCGGCUUAACCGGGGAACUGCAUCUGAUACUGGAUGGCUUGAGUUCGGGAGAGGGAUGUGGAAUUCCAGGUGUAGCGGUGAAAUGCGUAGAUAUCUGGAGGAACACCGGUGGCGAAGGCGGCAUCCUGGACCGACACUGACGCUGAGGAGCGAAAGCCAGGGGAGCAAACGAG
rnacentral:rRNA from 1 species